rnacentral:tRNA from 1 species
GUAUCUAUAGCUUAAAGUUCAUUAAAGCAUAACUUUGAAGAGGUUAAGAAGGUUUGAAUUCAACCUGGAUACA